GACAGAGGGGGCAAGCGUUGCUCGGAAUUACUGGGCGUAAAGGGCGCGUAGGCGGGAUGGCAAGUCGGUCGUGAAAUCCCUCGGCUCAACCGAGGAACGUCGAUCGAUACUGCUGUUCUUGAGGAUUGCAGAGGAGACUGGAAUUCCCGGUGUAGCGGUGAAAUGUGUAGAGAUCGGGAGGAACGACCGGUGGCGAAGGCGGGUCUCUGGGCAAUUCCUGACGCUGAGGCGGCGAAAGCGUGGGGAGCAAACGGG
rnacentral:rRNA from 1 species